rnacentral:rRNA from 1 species
GACAAACGCUGGCGGCGUGCUUAACACAUGCAAGUCGAACGGUGAAGCGCCUUCCUUUUUGGUGGGUGUGGAUGAGUGGCGAACGGGUGAGUAACACGUGAGUAACCUGCCCCCUUCUUCUGGAUAACCGCAUGAAAGUGUGGCUAAUACGGGAUAUUCUGGGUCUGUCGCAUGAUGGGUCUGGGAAAGAUAUUGUUUCGGUGGGGGAUGGGCUCGCGGCCUAUCAGCUUGUUGGUGGGGUGAUGGCCUACCAAGGCGGUGACGGGUAGCCGGCCUGAGAGGGUGGACGGUCACACUGGGACUGAGACACGGCCCAGACUCCUACGGGAGGCAGCAGUGGGGAAUAUUGCACAAUGGGCGCAAGCCUGAUGCAGCGACACCGCGUGAGGGAUGGAGGCCUUCGGGUUGUGAACCUCUUUCGCCAGUGAAGCAGGCCUGCCUCGUUUGUGGGUGGGUUGACGGUAGCUGGAUAAGAAGCGCCGGCUAACUACGUG